rnacentral:misc_RNA from 1 species
AAGAUCACCCGGUCGCCCCCCUCGCGCCUCACGCAGGCCUGGGGCCGGAAACGGCCCCAGUGACGUCGGGGGAUCGAUACCGGGGGCCAGAGCGCCCCCGGGCCGGAUGAAUCCCACCCGUGUCUACAUACUCUUGUUGCUUUGGCAGGCCGUGGUCUCCACUGUGGGCUCUGCCUGCACGUGCCUGCCAGAGGACCAACCUCUGAAUUUUAGUGAUGUCUGAGUACUAUAUAAUAGUUAAAACUUUCAACAACGGAUCUCUUGGUUCU